AUUGAACGCUGGCGGCAGGCCUAACACAUGCAAGUCGAACGAGAGGCGGACGGGUGAGUAAUGUCUGGGACACUGCCUGAUAGAGGGGGAUAACUACUGGAAACGGUAGCUAAUACCGCAUACCAUCGGAUGUGCCCAGAUGGGAUUAGCUAGUAGGUGGGGUAAAGGCUCACCUAGGCGACGAUCACUAGCUGGUCUGAGAGGAUUACCAGCCACACUGGAACGGAGACACGGUCCAGACUCCUACGUGAGGCAGCAGUGGGGAAUAUUGCACAAUGGGCGCAAGCCUGAUGCAGCCAUGCCGCGUGUAUGAAGAAGGCCGUCGGGUUGUAAAGUACUUUCAGCGGGGAGGCGUUACCCGCAGAAGAAGCACCGGCUAACUCCGUGCCAGCAGCCGCGGUAAUAC
rnacentral:rRNA from 1 species